UACAGAGGGUGCGAGCGUUAAUCGGAAUUACUGGGCGUAAAGCGCACGUAGGCGGCUUGGUAUGUCGGGUGUGAAAUCCCCGGGCUCAACCUGGGAACUGCAUCCGAAACUGCCUUGCUCGAGUAUGGGAGAGGGAAGUGGAAUUUCCGGUGUAGCGGUGAAAUGCGUAGAUAUCGGAAGAAACAUCAGUGGCGAAGGCGACUUCCUGGACCAAUACUGACGCUCAGGUGCGAAAGCGUGGGGAGCAAACAGG
rnacentral:rRNA from 1 species